rnacentral:lncRNA from 1 species
GAAUCAAACUCUCAAUGAAAGCACAAAUUUGUGGAUGCAAAUUUCCUCCAUCUCUUCAUUUGACGAAAAUGCACAUGCAAAAUAAUAACAACUUCGAUCAAAGCCAAAAGCCUCAUGCGCCCAUGAUGAAUAAGAGGGACUUUGGCCGAAGAAUCUCCGAUGUCAAAGUUAGAAUUCUGAAAAGAAUGUAUUUAGGAGUUUCUGGGUAGCAAAUGGCUUAGCAUUUUUGUGGGAUAAGAUAGGUAUUUAUAGGAGGGUGGUCAACCCUAUUGGUGGAGAAUGGCCGGCCAUAUAUGGUGUAAUUUGGUAAAUAAUUGCAAGAUAUUGUGUGAAAUAAUAUCUUGCAAUUAACAUGGCAAUUAUUCCUAAAUUAAAUAGGAAGUUUUGGGAAUUACCUUUUAAAUUAAAAUCAAUAAGGGAUUGAUGGGGAGUGAUGGGAGAGAUUUGAAUAAAUACCAUAUUGAUCACCUUUGACUCUUCGUUGAUUGAGCGGUUAUUGUCCAUUGCAUGCGUGUGGAAAUUCCAGUGUGCCUCGAGGGUAAUCACGUCU